GGAGAAAAGCAGGGGAUCGCAGGACCUUGCGCUCAUUGAGCGGCCGAUGCCUGAUUAGCUAGUUGGUGAGGUAAAGGCUUACCAAGGCGACGAUCAGUAGCUGGUCUGAGAGGACGACCAGCCACACUGGGACUGAGACACGGCCCAGACUCCUACGGGAGGCAGCAGUGGGGAAUUUUGGACAAUGGGGGAAACCCUGAUCCAGCCAUGCCGCGUGAGUGAAGAAGGCCUUCGGGUUGUAAAGCUCUUUCAGCCGGAACGAAACGGUCACGGCUAAUACCUGUGACUACUGACGGUACCGGAAGAAGAAGCACCGGCUAACUACGUGCCAGCAGCCGCGGUGAUACGUAGGGUGCGAGCGUUAAUCGGAAUUACUGGGCGUAAAGCGUGCGCAGGUGGUUUUGUAAGUCAGAAGAGAAAUCCCCGGGCUUAACCUGGGAACUGCGUUUAAAAAAGAAAGCUAGAAGGGC
rnacentral:rRNA from 1 species